AUUGAACGCUGGCGGCAUGCCUUACACAUGCAAGUCGAACGGCAGCACGGGGCAACCUGGUGGCGAGUGGCGAACGGGUGAGUAAUGCAUCGGAACGUACCUUUCAGUGGGGGAUAACGUAGCGAAAGUUACGCUAAUACCGCAUAUUCUGUGAGCAGGAAAGCAGGGGAUCGCAAGACCUUGCGCUGAUUGAGCGGCCGAUGUCAGAUUAGGUAGUUGGUGAGGUAAAGGCUCACCAAGGCGACGAUCUGUAGCGGGUCUGAGAGGAUGAUCCGCAACACUGGAACUGGGACACGGUCCAGACUACUACGGGAGGCAGCAGUGGGGAAUUUUGGACAAUGGGGGCAACCCUGAUCCAGCCAUGCCGCGUGAGUGAAGAAGGCCUUCGGGUUGUAAAGCUCUUUCGGCCGGGAAGAAAUCGCACGGGCUAAUACCCUGUGUGGAUGACGGUAUCGGAAUAAGAAGCACCGGCUAACUACGUGCCAGCAGCCGCCGUAA
rnacentral:rRNA from 1 species